rnacentral:rRNA from 1 species
UAGGGAAUCUUCCGCAAUGGACGAAAGUCUGACGGAGCAACGCCGCGUGAGUGAAGAAGGAUUUCGGUUCGUAAAACUCUGUUGUUAGGGAAGAAAAAAUGUAUAGUAACUAUAUACAAAAGAGACGGUACCUAACCAGAAAGCCACGGCUAACUACGUGCCAGCAGCCGCGGUAAUACGUAGGUGGCAAGCGUUGUCCGGAAUUAUUGGGCGUAAAGCGAGCGCAGGCGGUUAGAAAAGUCUGAAGUGAAAGGCAGUGGCUCAACCAUUGUAGGCUUUGGAAACUGUUUAACUUGAGUGCAGAAGGGGAGAGUGGAAUUCCAUGUGUGGCGGUGAAAUGCGUAGAUAUAUGGAGGAACACCGGUGGCGAAAGCGGCUCUCUGGUCUGUAACUGACGCUGAGGCUCGAAAGCGUGGGGAGCGAACAGG